GUCUUCGUAGGUAAUGUCAUCCUUCUUCUUUGAACCCACCCUACCAAACAAGCGUAAUAGUCGGACAACUUAUAAGGAGGAAGAGAGUGAAAUGUAUGAUUCAAUAUCAUUCAUAUUACAACAAAAUGUGUUAAAAAACCAUGUACAAAUAGAGCCCUAAUUCCGAAUCAAUCCAGACCUUUCGGUUGAUAAAAUUGUGAAGAGAGCAAUAGAAACGGGGCCAUCGCUUGGAGACGAGAAAGCGACAGUAGAGGAAGACGGCGGAGGGGGGCGGCGGUGGAAAAUUUCGUGGAGGAGCACAACCCAUAGAUUUUUUGCGAGACUGGGUGAGUACCAUUGCAAUUCUUGCUCAGCUGACUGCUCUUGCAAGAGCUACCAUCGCCAGAAGCAGAAUAAUGGAUUUAGGAGAUGAAAUGCGGAAAGUUCUUUACUGGAUUGCGCAAGUUUUUGUGGUUGCGGGUGUAGUGUCAAGAGUUGAAGAGAUGAGCAGGAAAAGAUAACAGGUGACAGACAUAAAAUGCCCUCGUUUUCAAUACCACCAGGGAAGAGAAGGGGGUGGGGGGCAUAUGGGACCGCUGAAGUCCAUGAAAUAUGGUUCUCUAAUAAAAGCCAUACACAGGUUCACAAUGGUGCGGCAAAACAAUGGUAAAUGAGCAAUUAGAUGUGGUGGAUGCCGUCUCGUAUAAACAAACCAAGUGUAUAGAGUACAAAGAAAGGAGUUUCAAACGUCUACGGGAUGAAAUUCUAUAUUUAUUAACUGUUUGCAAAGAGCUGCUCUCUCUCCGUGUGUGGUUAUUAACUAAUUUUUUCCCUGAUUAUUAUCGUAAAUAUCGGUCAAUUUGAAGUGCUUGAUCCCAA